rnacentral:rRNA from 1 species
UACGGGGGAUGCAAGCGUUAUCCGGAUUUAUUGGGUUUAAAGGGUGCGCAGGCGGAAUGUCAAGUCAGCGGUAAAAUUUCGGGGCUCAACCCCGUCGUGCCGUUGAAACUGGCGUUCUUGAGUGAGCGAGAAGUAUGCGGAAUGCGUGGUGUAGCGGUGAAAUGCAUAGAUAUCACGCAGAACUCCGAUUGCGAAGGCGACCUGCUAGAACAUAACUGACGCUGAUGCGCGAAAGCGUGGGGAGCAAACAGG